UACGGAGGGUGCAAGCGUUAAUCGGAAUUACUGGGCGUAAAGCGUGCGCAGGCGGUUUGUUAAGUCCGCUGUGAAAUCCCCGAGCUCAACUUGGGAAUUGCAGUGGAUACUGGCAAGCUGGAGUAUGGUAGAGGAAGGUGGAAUUCCCGGUGUAGCAGUGAAAUGCGUAGAGAUCGGGAAGAACACCAGUGGCGAAGGCGGCCGGCUGGGGGCGCCCUGACGCUGAGGCGCGAGAGCGUGGGGAGCAAACCGG
rnacentral:rRNA from 1 species